rnacentral:misc_RNA from 1 species
AACGCACAUUGCGCCCGCCAGUAUUCUGGCGGGCAUGCCUGUUCGAGCGUCAUUUCAACCCUCAAGCCCUCGGGUUUGGUGUUGGGGAUCGGCGAGCCCUCGCGGCAAGCCGGCCCCGAAAUAUAGUGGCGGUCUCGCUGCAGCUUCCAUUGCGUAGUAGUAAAACCCUCGCAACUGGUACGCGGCGCGGCCAAGCCGUUAAACCCCCAACUUCUGAAUGUUGACCUCGGAUCAGGUAGGAAUACCCGCUGAACUUAA